rnacentral:piRNA from 1 species
UCACUGGGAUCCAAACGAGUCUCUUGGG